GCAGCCGCCGCGGGAAAACGUAGGGCGCAAGCGUUGUCCGGAAUUAUUGGGCGUAAAGAGCUCGUAGGCGGUCUGUCGCGUCUGGUGUGAAAUCCCGAGGCUCAACCUCGGGCUUGCAUCGGGUACGGGCAGACUAGAGUGCGGUAGGGGAGACUGGAAUUCCUGGUGUAGCGGUGGAAUGCGCAGAUAUCAGGAGGAACACCGAUGGCGAAGGCAGGUCUCUGGGCCGCAACUGACGCUGAGGAGCGAAAGCAUGGGGAGCGAACAGGAUUAGAUACCCCUGUAGUCCCUGUCUCUUAUAC
rnacentral:rRNA from 1 species